CUACGGGAGGCACCGGUGAGGAAUAUUGCACAAUGGGGGGAACCCUGAUGCAGCAACGCCGCGUGGAGGAUGACGCAUUUCGGUGUGUAAACUCCUUUUAUAUGUCAAGAAAAUGACGGUAGCAUAUGAAUAAGCACCGGCUAACUCCGUGCCAGCAGCCGCGGUAAUACGGAGGGUGCAAGCGUUACUCGGAAUCACUGGGCGUAAAGGACGCGUGAGGCGGGUUGGAAAGUCAGGUGUGAAAUCCUACAGCUUAACUGUAGAACUGCACUUGAAACUUCUAAUCUAGAGUAUGGGAGGGGGAGAUGGAAUUAGUGGUGUAGGGGUAAAAUCCGUAGAUAUCACUAGGAAUACCUAAAGCGAAGGCGAUCUCCUGGAACAUUACUGACGCUAAGGCGUGAAAGCGUGGGGAGCAAACAGGAUUAGAUACCCGAGUAGUC
rnacentral:rRNA from 1 species